ACAAACCGCUGUUUCGUAUCAUGUCAUUAAAGGGGAUAAACGAAUCCACACUUCUCAAAGCUCCUCCAUCUUUUUCAUGAUUUCCAGUAAUUUCAUUUAAAUCGCCAAUGAUGAACCAGAGUUCGGAUCUUGAAAGUCCAUACCUAGUUAAUCGUUCCUAAACUUGUUCCCUCAUUUUUUGGACCGGAUCUCCAUGCAUAAACAAAUGUUAGAAACACCCUUUUCCCAAUAGCCACCGCCUCCACAUCUAUCAUUGGAUUACUUGAGUAUAGAAUCUUAACCUGAUACUCAUUAUUAUAAAAAAACGCUAAUCCACCACUUCUCUUAUUUGGAUCCACUGUAACCAAAUUAUCGAAUCCAGAGUGGAGUUGAAAUCUCUGAACGAAGUCAAACUCCUGCUUUGUUUCUGAUAAAAAUAAAAAAUCUGGUUUAUGUUUGUGCUAUAUCUCUCUCAGAUAACUCAUAGUCCAUUUAUUUCUCAUUCCUCGACAAUUCCAACUUAAAG
rnacentral:lncRNA from 1 species